AUAAGAUUAAUUCUUAAAGUUGUUCAGUCACAGGACGUGGCAGAAGUUGGGCUGUGAAAGGUGUAAAGGGGCAAGGGUUGGUCCUGAAGUAUUGAACCACACUAAACUCUUACCUGUUUUAGUGCACCCCUGCCUCAGUUUCCCUCCUGGGUAGGAUCCCAACUAAUCCUGGGCAUGUUCAGGGAUUAAAGCUCCCACAUUUGGAUAUGGAUAUUACUCAGGGCUGCAUUUCCUUAAACUAAGGGCCGGAUUGAGCGUGAGAGGCUCGGCCCAUGUUGGGUCGUUUUAGCAUCAACCCCCCCGAAGUUUUGGACCCGCGGGAGUUGUCCCUGCGCGGCCUCGAACCCGCGGCCCCGGGGCGAGCGCGGCUCUCCCCGCCGGCCGCCAGGGGGCAGCAGCGCCGCGCUCGGGCGCUCCCCGCCCGCUUCCGGCCCACGUGGGGCAGGCUCGCACAUGGCCGCGAACAUGUCGCCGGACGGGGAGGAUGUGCAGCGGCUCCUGAUCCAGUUCCGCGAUGAGGCAGGGGAGUGCCUGGGCUCGCCCUUCGACGUCCCGGUCACCAUCACUCCGGACAAGCUGCAGCUCGUCUGCAACGCCCUCCUACAGAAGGAUGAGCCGCUGCCUCUGGUCUUCUUCAUCCACGAUGCCGAGAUCGUGGCGUCGCUGGAGAAGACCCUGGCAGGGCAGAGCGUGGAGACAGAGAAGGUUCUGGACAUCAUCUACCAGCCGCAGGCGGUGUUCAGGGUGCGGGCGGUGACACGCUGCACCAGCUCCCUGGAGGGACACACCGAGGCCGUCAUCUCCGUGGCUUUCAGCCCCACGGGAAAGUACCUGGCGAGUGGCUCUGGAGACACCACUGUCCGCUUCUGGGACCUCAGCACGGAAACACCACAGUUCACAGCCAAAGGUCACCGGCACUGGGUGCUCAGCAUUGCUUGGUCACCUGAUGGCAAGAAACUGGCCUCGGGCUGCAAGAACAGCCAGAUCUUUCUCUGGGACCCAGCCACUGGCAGCCAGAUCGGCCGGGUGCUCUCUGGCCACUCCAAAUGGAUCACAUGUCUGUGCUGGGAACCCCUCCACAUAAACCCAGAGUGCCGUUACCUGGCCAGUGCCUCCAAGGACUGCAGCAUCCGCAUCUGGGACACUCUGAUGGGCAGGUGUGACAAAAUCCUCACAAGCCACACGCAGUCGGUGACCUGUGUGAAGUGGGGGGGCGAUGGCUUGCUCUACUCCUCCUCCCAGGACAGGACCAUCAAAGUCUGGAGGAGCCAGGAUGGUGUCCUGUGCCGCACGCUGCAGGGCCACGCUCACUGGGUGAACACCAUGGCCCUGAGCACCGACUACGUUCUGCGCACCGGCGCCUUCGAGCCAGCCGAGGCCACCAUCAACCCCCAGGAUGUCAGAGGCUCCUUGUCAGAACUGAAAGACAGGGCACUGCAGAGGUACAACCAAGUCCGGGGCCCAGAACCAGAAAGGCUUGUCUCAGGGUCAGAUGAUUUCACCCUGUUUCUUUGGAGACCAGCAGAAGACAAGAAGCCACUCGAGAGAAUGACAGGCCACCAGGCAUUGAUUAACCAAGUCGUGUUCUCACCAGACACCCGGAUAAUCGCUAGUGCUUCCUUUGACAAGUCCAUAAAGCUCUGGGAUGGUAGGACAGGAAAGUACCUGACGUCGCUGAGGGGCCACGUCUCAGCCGUGUACCAGAUCGCCUGGUCAGCCGACAGCCGCUUGCUGGUGAGCGGCAGCAGCGACAGCACCCUCAAGGUCUGGGAUGCCAAGACAAAGAAACUGGCCAUCGAUCUGCCUGGCCACGCCGAUGAGGUGUAUGCGGUGGAUUGGAGCCCGGACGGACAGAGGGUGGCGAGCGGAGGGAAGGACAAGUGUUUGCGGAUAUGGCGUCGAUAGGAACAGUGACAUGGAGCUGCUGGUCCUGCCCUCAGCACAGUCCUGGGAGAUCUCCAAGGCUCUUGGUGUAGUGCGGAUGCUGGAGUUACCGACGCCCAGAAGCUCCCGCAGCAGCCCGACAAGGACCCAGCUGGGAGGAGUGACCCGCAUGCAAAUCCCGCAGCCUCCAGCGAUCCCGCUCGGAUCCCGCAGGGUGUUUAGUUAUUCCGGUCAAAGCUCGCUGCCGCUCCUGCCCGUUUGUCCUUGCUGUGCUGAACAAACCUGCUCCAGGGCUCCAGCCCCAUUAGGAGGACAAAAGGACGUGAGGCAGUGUCGGGAAAUGUGUCUCGGUUCGCAAGUGUGAUGCAGAACGGGUGGCUUGGUAAUAAUGGCCGUUGUGACUUUUAUCUGCUCAAAAGGCGUCUUGCGAAUGAAUUUGUUUUUUCAGCUUCCCUAAAAUGUAGCUUGUGACAUUGAUUUUGGGGUGAGGAUACACGCUGAUGCUGGGAGGUUUAAUACUGAAGUGAGAAUUGGUGGAUGGCAAUAAACAACCAGUUCUGAGGGAAAUUAUUUUUAUGAAUCAGAAUAUUUAACACAUGGAGGCUUGUGGGCUUUUUCCUGGUUUAAAGGGACACUGUGAAGCAUAUCACAAAGUCUGUUACUACCAACAUUUUAAUUUAUGAUUAACUUGGAAUAUUUUUACAUCUCAUUUAUUCUUUCCACAGGGGUGUUCUGGGCUGUUGAAAUUAUUGGCCAACUCCACUUUCUUGGUGUUGUUUGUUAGGGGAGUGCCAUGGGAGGAUUUUGGGUGGGGACUCAAAACUUGA